rnacentral:rRNA from 1 species
CUACGGGUUGCACCAGUAAGGAAUAUUGCGCAAUGGAGGCAACUCUGACGCAGCCAUGCCGCGUGCAGGAAGAAGGCCUUAUGGGUCGUAAACUGCUUUUAUUUAGGAAUAAACCCCCGAACGUGUUCGGGGCUGAAGGUACUAAACGAAUAAGCACCGGCUAACUCCGUGCCAGCAGCCGCGGUAAUACGGAGGGUGCAAGCGUUAUCCGGAUUUAUUGGGUUUAAAGGGUGCGCAGGCGGGCUAUUAAGUCGGUGGUGAAAUCCCGGGGCUCAACUCCGGAACUGCCAUUGAUACUGAUAGUCUUGAGUUUGGUUGAAGUGGGCGGAAUGUAGCAUGUAGCGGUGAAAUGCAUAGAGAUGCUACAGAACACCAAUCGCGAAGGCAGCUCACUAAGCCAAAACUGACGCUCAUGCACGAAAGCGUGGGGAUCAAACAGGAUUAGAUACCCCAGUAGUC